UGCAGUCGAACGGUAGCAGGCCUUCGGGCGCUGACGAGUGGCGGACGGGUGAGUAACGCGUAGGAAUCUGCCUUAUAGUGGGGGACAACUUGGGGAAACUCAAGCUAAUACCGCAUACGCCCUACGGGGGAAAGCGGGGGCUCUUCGGACCUCGCGCUAUGAGAUGAGCCUGCGUUAGAUUAGCUAGUUGGUGGGGUAAAGGCCUACCAAGGCGACGAUCUAUAGCUGGUCUGAGAGGACGAUCAGCCACACUGGGGCUGAGACACGGCCCAGACUCCUACGGGAGGCAGCAGUGGGGAAUAUUGGACAAUGGGCGCAAGCCUGAUCCAGCAAUACCGCGUGUGUGAAGAAGGCCUUCGGGUUGUAAAGCACUUUCAAUUGGGAGGAAAACCUAUCGGCUAAUACCCGGUAGCUUGACAUUACCUUUAGAAGAAGCACCGGCUAACUCCGUGCCAGCAGCCGCGGUAAUACGGAGGGUGCAAGCGUUAAUCGGAAUUACUAGGCGUAAAGCGUGCGUAGGCGGUUUGUUAAGUCAGAUGUGAAAGCCCCGGGCUCAACCUGGGAACUGCAUUUGAAACUGGCAGACUAGAGUUUAGUAGAGGGGAGUGGAAUUUCAGGUGUAGCGGUGAAAUGCGUAGAUAUCUGAAGGAACACCAGUGGCGAAGGCGACUCCCUGGACUAAAACUGACGCUGAGGUACGAAAGCGUGGGUAGCAAACAGGAUUAGAUACCCUGGUAGUCCACGCCGUAAACGAUGUCAACUAGCCGUUGGUCCUCUUAGCAGAUUAGUGGCGCAGCUAACGCAUUAAGUUGACCGCCUGGGGAGUACGGCCGCAAGGUAAAACUC
rnacentral:rRNA from 1 species